rnacentral:rRNA from 1 species
GACGAACGCUGGCGGCGCGCUUAACACAUGCAAGUCGAGCGAGAACCAGCCCUUCGGGGCUGGGGAAAGCGGCGAACGGGUGAGUAACACGUGGGUAAUCUGCCCUCGGCACCGGAAUAGCCCGGGGAAACCCGGAUUAAUGCCGGAUGGCCUCUCCGCCCUUCGGGGCGGUGAGAAAAGGUAGCUUCGGCCUCCGGCCGAGGAUGAGCCCGCGGCCGAUUAGCUUGUUGGUGGGGUAACGGCGCACCAAGGCGACGAUCGGUAGCUGGUCUGAGAGGACGAUCAGCCACACUGGGGCUGAGACACGGCCCAGACUCCUACGGGAGGCAGCAGUGGGGAUUCUUGCGCAAUGGGCGAUAGCCUGACGCAGCGACGCCGCGUGCGGGAAGAAGGCCUUCGGGUUGUAAACCGCUUUCAGGAGGGACGAAGCCACUCGGGUUAAUAGCCUAGAGGGUGACGGUACCUCCAGAAGAAGCCCCGGCUAACUACGUGCCAGCAGCCGCCGUAACAC